AUCUUUACAGCGUUUGGAGGUACCUCAGCUAGGAAUAGCUCAGGUUUAAAAAGGAACCGUGUGCAAAUCACGGGCUGACGCGCAACUGUAAGUAACAAUUGAUUGCUGCCACACAAAUGUCCAUUGUCCGGAGCCCGGAUGAGAAGGACGGCAACAAUGUUACAAGCCAGGAGACUUGCCCCAACAAUAUUCCACGC
rnacentral:ncRNA from 2 species